UCCAGCCCCUUUUAAGAUCUGCGAGCUUCAUCCUCUAAGGCAGCCGUAGCCUUGAUUCCUUUCCUGCUUUCCCCCAAAAUUCAAUUUCUCCGUUCUAAUCGUUUUCUAGGGCUAAUCUUUCUCCUGUGAAUAUGGCGGAUUCUCCUCGCAAAAGGGAUUCUCGUUCUCCCUCCCCUUGGAGAGAACAGUCCAGAUCUCGAUCAAGAUCUAGAUCCAGACCUAGAUCCAGGUCCAGAUCUUUGUCCAAUACAAGGCCUAGAUCCCGGUCCAGAAGUCGUGGCAGAUCAAGGUCUCGAAGUCGCGGAAGGACUGAGGUUGUGAAUCCUGGAAAUACCCUCUAUGUUACCGGCCUAUCCACACGAGUCACUGAAAGGGACCUUGAAGAACACUUCUCUAAGGAGGGAAAGGUUGCAUCAUGUUUUCUUGUCGUGGAGCCACGCACUCGGAUUUCUCGUGGGUUUGCAUUUGUUACAAUGGAUUCUGUUGACGAUGCCAACCGUUGCGUCAAGUACCUCAACCAGUCUGUUUUGGAGGGCCGGUACAUAACUGUUGAGAAGAAGAUAUUGCGUCAGCUUUGUUGGCAGCAAUCAAAGAUGAUCAGUUCAUCCAUGUCAACUUAAGUGAAAUACAGCUUGAUCAAUGGCCAGCUUAAACAGCUUUUUCAAAUGCAUCUGAUCAACUAAUCAAAUCAUCUAUAUUGUCCAACAACUAUACAACCUCAGCAUUCACUUUCAACUCAACUAAUCAACGGACAUUAUCAACAACUAUAUAAUCAGAUUUUAUGGUAUUUCACACCUGAUAUUCAUCUAGUGGCCCACUGGUUUAGGCUGGUUGUGUCGUGGUUUUUCCUUUUCCCACCUUUGUAAACCGGUUGCUUCCCAUACCUUCAAGAUUUUUGAAUGAAACUGCUUCUUGCAUAUCCUUUUAGUGGUCCUAUUAAUAUGAACAUGCCUGAAACCAUUGGUCUUCCUCUAUUAUGAUAAAAAAAGCUUGUCUGUUCUAAAUGGAUUUAUUUACCAAGGAGAUGUGCUUUAUUUACAUUUCAGUCCCGGAGAAAACGACCAAGAACUCCUACACCAGGACACUAUCUUGGUCUGAAGAGUACUAGGGAUUACGGCCGUGGUGAUCGUGGCAGGUAUCGCGGUGGAUCUGGACGAGAAGACUUCGGGUUUCGGAGGUCUCCAAGACGCUCACCU